CCUGGUGGCAAUAGCGCUGUGGAACCACCUGAAUCCAUUCCGAACUCAGAAGUGAAACGCAGCUGCGACGAUGGUAGUGUGGCAGUUGCCAUGCGAGAGUAGUACAGCGACACCGGGA
rnacentral:rRNA from 1 species